GCUGCCUAUAAAUGUCUCUGUAAGUGAUUCUUCUGUGGUUUGGAAUAAAGAACCAGAGUGGCAUGGAAACAGAGCCUCACGGAAUCCUGGAGCUGAGUAACGUCAGGGACACCCCUAGCCCCACACUCUAAGGUUCAGUGCUCAGGAGACGGUUUUGAGCUAGGAGAUUCACCAUUCUUACUCUAGGAACGUAGAUGAGUAGAUCUGAGUGCCAGACUGGCAGUCAAAUGCCUACUGCCACUUGUGUUUGGACUUGAUGCCACAUGAAAGAACUAAAAUGAAGACAGUAGCAAAGGUAUAUGUACGCUGAUACACGGGACUGGGAACGGAGAGAUGAUACGAACCUGUGAUUUUUCUGAAUCAGCGUGAAUUCAUGGUUGUAUCUGUCAGUCAGUACAAAACCACAGUUCUACUGUCAGCAGCUGCAGGGACGGCUCACCACUCUAAGACUGUCACCCACGGUCACUCACGGCAGCCCAAGGGGCUCUUCUAAUCUCUUAGAGACUUCAAUUUCGGCAGAGCCAAGUCCUUCACUACCGAGCAGAAUCUCAGUGUGACCAACCGAGUGUGACUAAUCUCAGUGUGACCAAUCUCAGAAUCAACCAGUGUGAGCAACUGCAGUUUAUUAAAAGACAUUUGAAACACA